AGAAACCUGUUCAAGAAUGUUCAUAGCACCUCUAAUCAUAAUUGUCAAAAAUUGGAGUCAACCAAAUAUCCUUCAGCAGGUGAAUAGAUAAGCAAAUUGUGGCCAGUCCUCAGAGAGACCAGGAAAGCCAGUUUCCUCCAAGAAUGAGGAAUCGUUAGAAGUGAGUCUCAUCUUGAGUCAAAGAGGAAGAAUCUCUUGCUGUCAAAGACAACUGCCUAGGGUCUCAAGCAAGAGCUGGCAACAGUGUCCCCAGAUGCUGACAGGUUUCCAGGACUUACACCAGAAUAUUCACGAGGCCAACAGGCCUCAGACCCCAGCGGCAGAAGCGGACCUCUGCUGAGUCUGAGCCGAGUCUUGAACUUAAAGACGAUUUGCGCGGAUCCCUAACGCACUUGAGACCGCAGGAUAUCGCGGUUCCAAAGACUCAUGACUCCUUUCCUUCCCCAAACCCAAU
rnacentral:lncRNA from 1 species